GUGAAUCAUCGAAUUUUUGAACGCAAAUUGCACUUACUGGUAUUCCGGAAAGUAUGCCUGUUUGAGGGUCAGUUAAAUAAAAAUCGGUGUUGUUGAUGCCUUUCGUGGUGACACGUCGGAAUUUGGUCGUCUUACCUUCGGUUAAGUGAUUUAAAAUUUUUGCAUGUUUUUCGAACUUAUUUAAAUGGCUUAAGUAUGUUUGAGAUAUAGAAUGCUUAUUAGGUUAGGUCAUUUACAUGCUUCGCAGCUAUAAUUUUUCAUUAAAUGUCCUCAAAUCAGGUAAGAAUACCCGCUGAACUUA
rnacentral:misc_RNA from 1 species